rnacentral:rRNA from 1 species
AUAUCAAUAAGCGGAGGAAAAGAAACCAACAGGGAUUGCCUCAGUAACGGCGAGUGAAGCGGCAAGAGCUCAAAUUUGAAAGCUGGCCCCCUCGGGGUCCGCGUUGUAAUUUGCAGAGGAUGCUUCGGGUGCAGCCCCCGUCUAAGUGCCCUGGAACGGGCCGUCAUAGAGGGUGAGAAUCCCGUCUGGGACGGGGUGUCUGCGUCCGUGUGAAGCUCCUUCGACGAGUCGAGUUGUUUGGGAAUGCAGCUCUAAAUGGGUGGUAAAUUUCAUCUAAAGCUAAAUACUGGCCGGAGACCGAUAGCGAACAAGUACCGUGAGG